rnacentral:rRNA from 1 species
AGUGGCGAACGGGUGAGUAAUACAUCGGAACAUUUCCAGAGCGGGGGAUAACCUGUCGAAAGAUAGGCUAAUACCGCAUAGGAGUGGCCGAUGUCGGAUUAGCUAGUUGGCGGGGUAACGGCCCACCAAGGCGACGAUCCGUAGCUGGUCUGAGAGGACGAUCAGCCACACUGGAACUGAGACACGGUCCAGACUCCUACGGGAGGCAGCAGUGGGGAAUUUAGGACAAUGGGCGCAAGCCUGAUCCAGCCAUGCCGCGUGAGUGAAGAAGGCCUUCGGGUUGUAAAGCUCUUUCGGCGGGGAUGACGGUACCCGAAGAAGAAGCACCGGCUAACUACGUGCCAGCAGCCGCGGUAAUACGUAGGGUGCAGGCGUUAAUCGGAAUUACUGGGCGUAAAGCGUGCGCAGGCGGUUUGUUAAGACAGAUGUGAAAUCCCCGGGCUUAACCUGGGAACUGCGUUUGUAACUGGCAAGCUAGAGUGUGGCAGAGGGGGGUGGAAUUCCAAGUGUAGCAGUGAAAUGCGUAGAUAUUUGGAGGAACACCGAUGGCGAAGGCAGCCCCCUGGGCUAACACUGACGCUCAUGCGCGAAAGCGUGGGGAGCAAACAGGAUUAGAUACCCUGGUAGUCCACGCCCUAAACUAUGUCAACUGGUUGUCGGUAACGAAGCUAACGCGUGAAGU